rnacentral:tRNA from 1 species
GCCAGCGUGGCAUAGUGGUUUGAACAUUGGACUAGGACUCUGGAGACCAGGGUUCGAAUUCCGGCUUGACC